ensembl:lncRNA
UCAUUGUAUCUUUUAAAGCUAUAUCUAAGGGAAUUCUUGUCCAAAUGGAAUAGAGAAGAUCAUAGUAGUUAAUGUCAAAUAAUUUAAUUUACUUAAAGUUGAAAAAUGUUUGCACAAAGGAAAUCUAAACAGAUAAAAUUAGAAUGGCAGCAGUUAACAGGGCAAGAGAAUUGAUAAAUGGUUAAACAUUACUAGACAUGUACCCUAAAGAAAUCAAGGAAAGAGGAAAAAGACACAUGUACAUAAUAUACUAGCUCAUCAUCAUAGCAAGAAACUAGAAACGAAAGGGAUAUCCACUUACUAAAGAAUAGCUAAAUAAAUUUUGGUAUAUGAAAGUAAUGGAAUAUAAUUUUGCCAAAUAAGUGAUGAAAUGGACAAUUUCAGAAGAAACUAAGAAAUUCUCUGUGAUCUAAUGCAGUGAAGUAAGGAGAUUUAGAAGAACAAGUUUUACAAUGUUGUUGUUGUUUCCUUUAAGUUGUGCCCAAUUAUCCAUGACUCCCUUUGAUAUUUUCUAGGAAAAGAUACUGGAGUUGUCGGUCCUUCUCCAGCUCAUUUUAUAGAUGAGGAAAUGGAGACAAACAUGGUUAAGUGACUUGCCCAGGGUCAUACAACUGUUCUGGAUGCAGAUGAUGGAGCCUUUGACUCAGAGUCUCAACUGGAUGCUGUUAUCAUUCCCACGAGGAAGUCCUGAGAAGCCAGGGUCUCAGGAUGCAUGUCCAAAAGGACUUUGGACUUGGAACUUAGUGGGACUGAUGCCAUGUAAGAACCAAGCUAAAAUAUAAACUCAAUUCUCUUUCACUUCUCCCUAGAUAUAUAGGUGGCUCAGGAGGGAUUAUACUUCUGAAAUAUUGGGAAGAUACAUUUGUUCUUAUCCCUUGAACAGGCCAGAGCCUUGCAUUCCCUUAAAAGUACUAGAGAUUUCAGUGGCAACAAGGUAGCUCAGUGGAUUGAGAACCAGGUCUAGAAAUGAGAGGUUCUGAGUUUAAAUUUGAACUUGGACAUUUUUUAACUCUGUGACCCUGGGCAAGUCAUUUAACCCCACUGCCAAGCCAUUAUUGCUUUUCUGCCUUGGAACCAAUACACAGUAUUGAUUCCAAGAUGAAGGCAAGGGUUUGAAAUAAUGUACUAGAGAUCAUGAGGAAGUAGUGAAAUGUAACACACUCAAUACUCAGUAUGUGAGUGCCAGAAACUCACUGUUAGACCUCCUUUAUCUUGACAGAGAGGAGGUAAAUAAGAAGUGUAGAAUGAGUCAUAAUAUCACUGGACAUGGCCAAUAGAUGGAUCUGUUCCGUGUGAUUGGAUGGUAUAGUGGAUAAAGUUUCAGAUUUGGAAUCAGGAAGAUCAGAGGUGAAAUCUAACCUCAGAUGCUCAAGUUACUUAAUCUCUGUUUCAUUUUUCUCAUCUAUAAAAUGAGGAUAAUAAUCGCAGCUUCCUUGAUGUUGUGAGAAUGAAUUGAGAUAAUAAUUGUGAAGUACUAUAUAAAAGCUAUUUUUAUUAUGAGGUUAAUUUUUUUUAAGGAAAGAGAAGCCCUUGUGAUAGCAAUGUUAAAAGAAAGGGAGAAAGAAGAAAAGGAGGGGGAAAGGAAGCAGCAAUAAAGAAAGAAAGGAAAGAGCA